GUUCAAGGGGCAUAAACUGAGGGUACGGAGUAGGCAGAUGUAAAUUCACAGGGGAUAAUCAGAAAUGAGGAAAGGAUUUCGUAGGGUGCUCAUUUUUAAAUAGAGGCCUCACUGAAGUUGACAUUUGUGAAAAGGCUUGAAAGAGUUGAAAUAGUAGGUUGAUCAAUCAUGUAGGGAGAUCACGGGGCCCAGAAAGAAUAGGUAAGAUCUUCAGGCAGAAGCAUUCCUAGCCCUUUUCAGGAAGAGUUUGGAGACCAGUAUUCUUGAAGCACUACCAGAAAUCUCGGAGAAUGGAACAUGGCUGAAAAACUUGAAGCAGUGGAUGCGUAUUGGCCCUUACAGUUCUGCCACUUUUGUUGCCUUGUCUGUUCUUUCUCUGUGCUUUUUUUCCUUACCCUUCUGUUGAUAACUAGCCAAUCCUCUCCCUCUGUUUUCAUCUCUGAAGCCAGGAUGUAUGGUAGUAUUCGUUUUAUUGAGAUUCCCAUUUUCAUUGCCUCUAGGGAGCCUUACAGUAAGCUAUCAUGAAAAUUAAGGUAUUUACUAUUUUUUAAAUUAAUAGGACUUUCAAAAUUGCAGGUGAGGUUCAAAAUUUACAUGGAUUCUGGUUUGUCCCAUUUAGGCAUACCUUAUUCUCUCAUGUAUUUAUUAUAUAUCCAAUCCGAAAAAUGGAUUUCCCUAUGGCAAAUAGCUUUUCUAAAAAAUAAAUAAAUAAAUAAAAAGAAAGAGAAAGAUGAUGAGACCUAGAGAAUUUAGGUCUUGAAAAGCCCACACAGGUAAAAAGAAGAAGUGGCAGGAUGACUUUAACUCUGCUUUCUAUUAAAAUGUUUUUAGGGGCUUAAGAAAGGGAAAGCCUUUUCUUUUUCAUUUUUGUUGGGUACAGCUGAGGUUAGAGUUUGCCACAGUUAUCUGAAUUCCUCAAACUUAUGCCAUUUGUGGUAUAUAAUUUUGGAGAGCCACACACUCAACAUAUGUGGCUAACCUGGUCUCAUAAAUUGGCUAAGAAAAGAGAGAAAAAGAGAAGAUCAAAGGGCAUGGCAAAUUGAUUACAAUGAAUUGUGAACAACCUAAAAUGUUGCAUGUUGGGGAAAGAAUAAUUUAAAAGAGAAAAACAUAAUGGUACAAAAGAUAGGAAAAUAAGUGAUCUAGAUAAUUAAAUGUCUAUAUAAAGUCUUAGCCUCAUGACUGUUAUAUAUAUCAUAUAAAUUCUUUUCAUUUUGUUUUUCUGAAAGAUAUUUGACAACUCCUUAGUUUUAUGUAAAGGAUAAUAAAAAUAGGCAUUUAAAAGAGUUGGCAGACUGUGAUUUCCACAGAGAUAUGAGUAAAAUUUCUGAAUGUCAUUUAGGAAAAAUAUAUGAAAAACCUGGCAUUGCUGGUGUAAUUUUUUUUAAACCUUGAACAAAUUUUAGUCCAUGAAAAUUGACAUUGAUCUUAUUUUUCAGAUGUAGUAGGAAUUGGGCUCUGUCUAAAUUAACUGUCUGAGGAAUACAAUUGUUGCUGAUGCCCUAACAUUAAGGCUCAUGUAUGGUUUUUCUUACUAAGGUAAGCAGACUGGAUGCUGUGACAGUCUCCUACUCAGCCUGUUGUGCGACAGUGUUUCUUUGCUAUUGCUACCACAGGAGGCACACUGGAAUGCAGAACUUGUGCCUUUACCUAUUUCCAUUUCUAGUUUCAACUAAAAAGUAGCAAGUGUUUCUCUUCACUUCUAUUAUUUUUACUUAUUUAUU
rnacentral:lncRNA from 10 species